rnacentral:rRNA from 1 species
GUUGGCGGUACCAGAAGUCGAUGGCUUUAACCUUCGGGAGGGCGUCGACCACGGUGUGGUCAAUGACUGGGGUGAAGUCGUAACAAGGUAGCMGUAGGUGAACCUGCAGAAGGAUCA